rnacentral:rRNA from 1 species
AUGGUUUCUUCGGGCAAGCGAACUAAGGAAGAUGGCGCAUCCUCGGGUGCGGCGGAGACGGAUCUGGCGGCAAUGAUGGAAGAAUUGGGUCUGAAGGAAGGCGAUCUCCAGGACGUAGUGGUGGAGGAUGAUGAACUUCCGGUAGAAGCAACCCACUGGAUGGCUCUGGCUAGGGUUCACACGGAGAAAUCUUACAGCCAGUAUUGGUUCUACAGGAACAUGAGGGUCGCAUGGGAUCUGGCGAAGGAAGUUAAAAUCAGACCUCUGGAGGAUAACUUGUAUACGUUGCAGUUCGCGUGCCUUGGCGACUGGGAGCGUGUAAUGGAGGAGGGCCCGUGGACUUUCAAGGGCAAAGCGGUGAUCGGCACCCUAUGA